GACGAACGCUGGCGGCGUGCUUAACACAUGCAAGUCGAACGGAAAGGCCCUGCUUGCGGGGUACUCGAGUGGCGAACGGGUGAGUAACACGUGGGUGAUCUGCCCUGCACUUCGGGAUAAGCUUGGUAAACUGGGUCUAAUACCGGAUAGGACCGAACUUGAGAGGGUGGGGUGGAAAGUUUUUUCGGUGUAGGAUGAGAGGGCGGCCUAUCAGCUUGUUGGUGGGGUAAUUGCCGACCAGAGGGGCGGCGGGUAGACGGCCUGAGAGGGUGUACGGCCACACUAGGACUGGAAAACGCCCCAGACUCCUACGGGAGGCUAGAGUGGGGAAUAGUGCACAAUUGGCGCAAGCCGGAUGCAGCGACGCCGCGGGGGUAAGGAAGGCCUUCGGGUUGUAAACACCGUUCGCUAGGUACGAAGCUUUUUGUGACGGUACCUAGAGAAGAAGCACCGGCUAACUACGUG
rnacentral:rRNA from 1 species